UCUGUAGCCUCACUCAGAAUAAGAAGGCCUACAAGGAAAUUGCAAUAAUAUCAUCAAGUAAGGAGCGUGAUAGAAUCAACCAGGUUGGAAGAGACCUCCAAGAUCAUCCAGUCCAACCUAUCACCCAGACACUGAAAAGUGCAUAAAAUGGAUUCCUUCUGGACUGAUAAAACUAGAAGAUGCCUAGGACUGGUUCUACUGUGCAGAUACCUCACCCACAAAAACCUCCUAUGUCCAUGUUUCAGUGAGCAUUAAAAGUAGCCUUAAGGAAAGCCAGUGAAAUGCAUGCAGUGUAGAUGCCAGAUCCCCAGAGUUAUAACCUCUACAGAUUCUUUUUGCACCAUGCUGCUUGUGAAGAAGUAGUAAAAGAUUCCAGGAAAGUACUGUCUACUAAUUAGUAAUAGCAGGACUCCCCUAAAUGGAUGGCAAAUGGAAAAACAUCUGUCAUUGAAAUGUUCACCUAUCCCACGUGGUGAAGGUUGUUGCACUCCAAGUUUUGAGGACAUGAGAAAUGUUUCUCAUAAAACCAUAGAUGUGAGAUUUCUCCUUUAUUCACACAUGAAAUGAACCAAAUUUGGAGAGUAGGAUAAUGUGUGAAGUAUGUAAAAUAUCACUGUGUACAUUUUUCUGAGGCAGUUAAAAGUAUUUUGUUAAUCUUGAAUGUCAUGGAAAGUUUUCUGUCACAUAGUCUUUGCCUCUCUCACUCUGAUUUUAAUCUUCACUUUCCAGAGUAUCUUGGUAACUUUUCAGCAUCUAUAGCUGAUAGCAACAGACUGAAUCCACAGUUUUGUUUGAAAGUUUUUCUUUUCUCAUCAUUAAAAAUGGAGUAGAGAACUCUGAGGUGUCUGUGACUCUCCUACAUGAAAUGUUCCAGAAGGCAUUCUGAGGUAACAAGGGUACCAAGGAUGCCACUAUCUUGUUUUGAGAUCAAAAUUUUGAGUGUCUGGCUCUUCAGGAUGCCUCAGUUAACACCUAAGGUUCCCUCCAGAGCCCAGUUCUAUUGCUGUCACAGACAUGAAAGGUAGCUGACCCCUUUAGCCUGGGAGUUUCCCAGUAGUGUUGAACCAACAUCAUGUAAUUAGCUCCACUUCAUGUACUUGGAGCAACAGCACAGCCUGGACUUCCAAGAAAGGCUGAAUAUUUGAAAUCCCAGAGAAACAAAAAUCUUUGGGUGGCUGGUUGGUAUUCAGAUGUAAUGGCCCAGUGAAGUAGUGCUAUACUCUACAGCAGGCUUGAAAGAACAAAUGUAGCAUUUGAAGCAAAAGCAGUCAAUAUAGCUCACUCUUUUUUUGUGCCUGGUGCAUAUGGCUUGAGUCUUGUAUGAAUAUAAAGAUACCUAAGCAAGAACUGACCAAGAUAUUGUGUUUAUUUCAGUGAAAAUGAGAGAACGUUUGUGAAUGUGUGCGUGUGUGUGUAACACAAUCAAACCCCUGGAGCUUUAUUUGUCUCAGCUAUGGCAAGAAGAGGCAGAAAAGUAAGUUUAAAGAUCUAUGAUGACACUAAGUCAAACAAAAAACAUGACAGAGAUAACAUAAAAAUAUUACUUGGCGUUAUUUGACAAAAGUGCUUUUAUUUGUAGAAAAAAAAAAGGUGCAAAAAUCAGACAUUAAUUUCUGAUACAGAUCAAUGUCUUUUGUAAUUAUUAAUGUUAUUUAUU